UCAGAGAAAUUCAGAAGGAAAUUCACUUGACUUUCUACACUUUGAUCUUUUUCUCUAACCUUUUAUCAUUUUCAUUUCCUUUUUGCUUUGAAGGUAAUAAUGGGCAAGAGAAUCAAGAUUCUUGUGAACUGUUCCAAGUGAUCAAUGCUAAGGAUGGAACGGAGAAGUUUGGAAUUCGAAUGGAAUUCGAAAACCAUGAUAGAAACCAGUCAAAGAAUUUCAACCAGGAAAGCUCAUCUUCCACUGAUGCUCCGAUGCAAGACUU